GCAAUACAUUUAACUAUUUUCCUUUCGUGUAAGCCUCUAGAAAAAAUUUCAUGUAUACUAAACCACAUAUGCCGAAACAUCGCUAUUAAGCGCAUCAAUAAUCGGCUGGUCUCGAGUUAAAUCGGUAGCCGGAGUUUCCAAGUUAGGGUUCGGAAACCAGUUGGUCGGCUUAAUCGCCGCGAUCUUCUUCCUAUUUAGGCACAACACAGCACUGUUACGGAAAUCCUCGACAAUCCUGAAUUCCAAUUGAUCGCCGGUACCGGAAACCGGAGACGAUUCCAGAGCAAAAGCACGGCGGAGUUUCCAUGGCUUUUAACCGGAGAAAAGUUAGGGUUUAAUAGCGAAUUGAAGUUCGAGAAACGGGAAGAAGGCAAUGGAGGGAAAUUCAGAAAAUGAGAGACGAUGAGCGGUGGCCGGGAUUAGAUCUUGGCGACAGCUGGAGGCUGGUGAGAUGACAAUGCGAG